GGGAAGGAGAAAGGUGAGGGAGGCAACAAGGAAGGUUUAGCCCAAAACCCUAGGGGAGAUGAGAGAAGAGAAGCUAAGAGGCCUGGUUUUGAAACUCUCUUGA